rnacentral:lncRNA from 1 species
GAGAGUUCUCAACCAGAGACUUAUCAACAUCAGCUAUUUGUCUAUUCGUGUCAACAACUUGGCUGCAAUACAGGUAUGGGGCGCACAGCCAUUAUUCUCUGUGCACAAGGGUCAAUCUUACACCAGCAUCUACUUUUUCACAUAAUCUUAAUUUCAUGUUUGAUUAAAACACUGAAAACGUUAAACACAGAUCUUAAAUGUACUAGUAACUCUUUUAGAGAUCGCCGUAUAAUUGCUAAAAAGAUUAGCCAAUCCUCGAGUUAAUCAAUUUUAGAGUGUCACCCCUCACAGCCGAUACAACUAUUCCUGCAUGACCAAAAAGAAGAGAUAGGAUAAAUAGCCUUUUCUGGUAGUAUCAAGCAUCCCAAUGAAGUUUAACUUCACUUGCCACAAUGCAACCACUUCUUACAGUGAAAAAUAAAAUAACUGAUCAUGAAGAAACAGCUUGAGCAAAUUCAUCUUUCAUUGAUAUACAUGAUUUAUGUACAGAUUACAGCGUGGUGAAACAAGCAUAACUCUCUUUUCAACCUCCAAUAAGCUUUUGCUCACCGGGGUGACAUCUUCCAAGGACUCAAUAUUAGUAAAAAAAAAAUUUACAAUUACAAUUCCAAACAAAAGCUAACAUCUAAUUCUUAGAC